GGUUGUGUAGUGUAGUGGUUAUCACUCUGGAUUUUGAUUAGUCAUAAUCCAUUCCAGUAACCCCGGUUCGAACCCGGGCACGACCU